rnacentral:tRNA from 1 species
GCCGGGGUGGCCGAGCGGCCCAAGGCGCGGGACUCGAGACCUGGAGCAAGACAUCCCGUCCCCGCGAGGGGGCGUGGGUUCAAAUCCCACCCCCGGCG